GAUGAACGCUGGCGGCGUGCCUAAUACAUGCAAGUCGAGCGAACAGACGAGGAGCUUGCUCCUCUGACGUUAGCGGCGGACGGGUGAGUAACACGUGGAUAACCUACCUAUAAGACUGGGAUAACUUCGGGAAACCGGAGCUAAUACCGGAUAAUAUAUUGAACCGCAUGGUUCAAUAGUGAAAGACGGUUUUGCUGUCACUUAUAGAUGGAUCCGCGCCGCAUUAGCUAGUUGGUAAGGUAACGGCUUACCAAGGCAACGAUGCGUAGCCGACCUGAGAGGGUGAUCGGCCACACUGGAACUGAGACACGGUCCAGACUCCUACGGGAGGCAGCAGUAGUAAUCUUCCGCAAUGGGCGAAAGCCUGACGGAGCAACGCCGCGUGAGUGAUGAAGGUCUUCGGAUCGUAAAACUCUGUUAUUAGGGAAGAACAAAUGUGUAAGUAACUAUGCACGUCUUGACGGUACCUAAUCAGAAAGCCACGGCUAACUACGUG
rnacentral:rRNA from 1 species